rnacentral:lncRNA from 1 species
ACCCCCUGCUCCAUCUCCCCACACCUCCAUCCCUGUCCCCCCAGCUCCAUCCAUCUCCCCACAAUCCAAUCACUUUCCCCCUGCUCCAUCCACAUCCCCCCAAUCUCACUCCUAUCCCCUUCUCCAUCCACAUCCCCACAAUUCCAUUCCUAUCCCCCCUGCUCCAUCCAUCUCCCACAAUCCCAUUCCUAUCCCCCCUGCUUCAUCCAUAUCCCCACAAUCCCAUUCCUAUCCCCCUCCUCCAUCCAACUCCCCACAAUCCCAUUCCUAUCCCCUGCUCCAUCCACAUCCCCACAAUCCCAUUCCUAUCCCUCCUGCUCCAUCCAUCUCCCACAAUCCCAUUCCUAUCCCCCCUGCUUCAUCCAUAUCCCCACAAUCCCAUUCCUAUUUCCCCUCUUCCAUCCAACUCCCCACAAUCCCAUUCCUAUCCCCUGCUCCAUCCACAUCCCCACAAUCCCAUUCCUAUCCCCCUCUUCCAUCCAACUCCCCACAAUCCCAUUCCUAUCCCCUGCUCCAUCCACAUCCCCACAAUCCCAUUCCUAUCCCCCUCUUCCAUCCAACUCCCCACAAUCCCAUUCCUAUCCCCUGCUCCAUCCACAUCCCCACAAUCCCAUUCCUAUCCCCCCUGCUUCAUCCAUAUCCCCACAAUCCCAUUCCUAUUUCCCUUCCUCCAUCCAACUCCCCACAACCCCAUUCCUAUCCCCUGCUCCAUCCACAUCCCCACAAUCCCAUUCCUAUCCCCUGAUCCAUCCACAUCCCCACAAUCCCAUUCCUAUCCCCCCUGCUCCAUCCAUCUCCCACAAUCCCAUUCCUAUCCCCCCUGCUUCAUCCAUAUCCCCACAAUCCCAUUCCUAUUUCCCCUCUUCCAUCCAACUCCCCACAAUCCCAUUCCUAUCCCCUGCUCCAUCCACAUCCCCACAAUCCCAUUCCUAUCCCCCUCUUCCAUCCAACUCCCCACAAUCCCAUUCCUAUCCCCCUCUUCCAUCCGACUCCCCACAAUCCCAUUCCUAUCCCCCUCCUCCAUCCAACUCCCCACAAUCCCAUUACUAUCGCCUGCCCCGCUCCAUCCACAUCCCCACAAUCUCAUUCUAUACCCCCUGCUCCAUUCCUAUCCUCACAGUCACAUUCAUACCUCACUCCACUCCAUACAUAUCCCCACAGUCUCAUUCCUAUCCCCCUUGCCCCAUCCAUAUCCCCACAAUCUCAUUCCUAUUCCCCCUUGCUCUAUACAUUUUCCCACAAUCUCACUUUACCGCCACUCCCCUCCCCACGAGCCAACUCACCUCUUGGUGGAGGGAGAUGGAGGCUCAGCCUCCUGUGCUCUGCCCAUCACCACCUUCCCCUUCCCCCACAUUCCAUGACGGCCUUAAGCCUCAGCCUUCUUAA